rnacentral:tRNA from 2 species
GCCGGGAUGGCGGAACUGGUAGACGCAGGGGACUUAAAAUCCCCUGGGCGUAAGCCCGUCCGGGUUCAAGUCCCGGUCCCGGCACCA